rnacentral:rRNA from 1 species
CUACGGGCUGCUCCAGUGAGGAAUAUUGCACAAUGGGGGGAACCCUGAUCCAGCAAUGCCGCGUGUGUGAAGAAGGCCUGCGGGUUGUAAAGCACUUUCGGUUGGGAGGACUGCUUCUAGCACUAAUAUUGUUGGAAGUUGACGUUACCUUCAGAAGAAGCACCGGCUAACUCCGUGCCAGCAGCCGCGGUAAUACGGAGGGUGCACGCGUUAAUCGGAAUUACUGGGCGUAAAGCGCGCGUAGGCGGCUAGAUCAGUCGGGUGUGAAAGCCCCGGGCUUAACCUGGGAACUGCAUCCGAUACUGUCUAGCUUGAGUACAGGAGAGGAGAGUGGAAUUCCACAUGUAGCGGUGAAAUGCGUAGAUAUGUGGAGGAACACCAAUGGCGAAGGCAGCUCUCUGGCCUGAUACUGACGCUGAGGUGCGAAAGCGUGGGGAGCAAACAGGAUUAGAUACCCUAGUAGUC